UACGUAGGGCGCAAGCGUUGUCCGGAAUUAUUGGGCGUAAAGAGCUCGUAGGCGGUUUGUCGCGUCUGUCGUGAAAGCUUGGGGCUUAACCCCAAGUCUGCGGUGGAUACGGGCAGACUAGAGGCAGGUAGGGGAGAACGGAAUUCCCGGUGUAGCGGUGAAAUGCGUAGAUAUCGGAAGGAACACCAGUGGCGAAAGCGGCUUCCUGGUCCAGCACCGACGUUCAGGCACGAAAGCGUGGGGAGCAAACAGG
rnacentral:rRNA from 1 species